AUUCAAAUUCGAUUUUCUCGAAAACGGCGUCCUUCUGCUUGUUUUUAGAUGUACACUCACAUCCUGGCUGCUCACCGCCAUCUUUCGAAGAGGACGCGCUAUGUGCAUGCAUGGACGAUAAUUAUUCCAUCCGUGUGAGCAAGGAUCAAAAUGAAUCAUUGAUCGAGCGUAGGAUACUGCCUGAACGAAGGAGGCACGCGUACGCAAAAAUCUUUAUUUGAUUUCGAGUGCAGGGUGCGAGCAGAAAGAGAGAGAAAGAGAGAGAGACAUGCAAGAGAAUCAGUAGGAAUGCAAUGGUGGUAAUAAUUCAGAUUCAGGCGUUAUCUGCCUUUCCUGUUCUGUGUAAUGUAUGCGCACGAGAUAGAGAGAGAGAGGAGAGGAGAGAGAGGGGAAAACAGAGGGGCAGCGGGAAGCAGCAGCCAUCGACUACGAGGCCGCGUGGGUUCGAGGUCGAAGCCGUAGUAGAGUCACGUUAGGCGACUGCCGGCUGUGUCGUAGCCAAAGUGCCGUUAUUUUAAUGCAGAUACGCAGAGUCCGGACGAGAAUGAAAGGCUGUAGGAGACAUUUGCACGUUGUCAGCCAGAGAGAGACUUGUGAUUAACUGAUGUCUAUUCGAUGUAUUUUCUACACUAGACGAUAACAUGCUCCACUUUGUACAAAUCACAAGUUGGAGGAUCUUCUUUGUCAAAGAGGUACUAGUGGGUGACUAUUGUAUGGUUCAUUACGAUUUUUAAGAUUGCCACUUGGUCGUGUUUUGGUAGAAAUAAAAUAUUAAAUAUUCAGAGAUACUUGUUGAAUUUCUUCUUGCAAGAGAGGAAUCAAGUUUUUUCUUUUUUUGGGGGAGGUUAGGUUUGGCGCCUAGGUUUUUUGGAUUAGGUUUGGGUUAGGUUUGGGCGCCUGGGCGUUGAAAAUCGUGGUCAAAGAUGGAAAAAUUUCCUUGUGUUCCAAACACGCUCGUUAUUCAAAUGCUAGAAAGCAGAAAAAUAGGAGAAAGUAGGAAAUGAUUUAAUAGCUUGUGGUUUUCAAAUAAUUUUUUACAGUUACGUUACAGUAUAAAUCUCACUGAGGAAAGACUAAGUAAAGAGAGAUUUCGUGGAAAGAUAUUCGCAAGAUGCACGAGAAUAAACAACGAGAGAAAAAAAGAAAGAACGCGAAAAAAGUGAACUUUUUCAACACUUAUGUAUUUGGGUAUUUCGACUACGUUCGAAACGUUUCCAGCAACAAAAUGAGUUCGAUGCUAAGCAAUCUUUAUUAUUACGCAUCUGUACUUACGCGUGUUUUUUUUUUUUCUACUUACAAUAAAAGAGAUUACAUACAUAUAUAUAUAUAUAUAUAUAUAUAUGUAUGUAUGUACAGAGAAGAGACGAAAUGCCGGAUAUGUUUGGUGAAGACAAAGAGAAAGUUAGCGCAAUUCUCCUAUAUUUGUGGUAAUUGUUCGCCGCGCGAUUUUUAGUAACUCCGUGAGAUGGACUGAAAGAAUAUGUUUUUUUUUUCUCUGUGACACAGCGCGAAAUACAUAACUUGGAAGAGUAAAGGCAGAGGCCAGUACGCGGAUGUAAUAUGUAAAAGGUGCACACGAGGGAAGCGUUGGUGGAAAUAGACAGUGGAGAAAGUCUUUCUAGAGGUUUAGUCUUUCGUGGAUCGGUGAAACAUCGACGCAAAUAAAAUAACGAAGAUGACGGAAGUACAAGGACACUCGAGGAAAAAGAGGAAACGUACAACUGUUUCCAGCAUUUUUCAUCGAUCUAGCUUGUCCGUUACUCGCGCUACGCGAUUUUUAUUAUUUAAGUUUUCCACUUCUUGGAGUUUUUCUUUUCUUUUUAAUAAUAAAGACAUCAAAAGUAAG